rnacentral:rRNA from 1 species
CGCAAGCCUGACGGAGCAAUACCGCGUGAGGGAGGAAGGCUUUUGGGUUGUAAACCUCUUUUCUCAAGGAAGAAGAUCUGACGGUACUUGAGGAAUCAGCAUCGGCUAACUCCGUGCCAGCAGCCGCGGUAAUACGGAGGAUGCGAGCGUUAUCCGGAAUCAUUGGGCGUAAAGAGUCUGUAGGUGGCACUUCAAGUCUGCUGUCAAAGACCGAAGCUUAACUUCGGGCAGGCGGUGGAAACUGAAGAGCUAGAGUAAAGCAGGGGUAGAGGGAAUUCCCAGUGUAGCGGUGAAAUGCGUAGAGAUUGGGAAGAACACCAGUGGCGAAGGCGCUCUACUGGGCUAAAACUGACACUGAGAGACGAAAGCUAGGGUAGCG